UACGUAGGGGGCAAGCGUUGUCCGGAAUCAUUGGGCGUAAAGCGCGUGUAGGCGGCUUGGUAAGUCCGCUCUGAAAGCCCGGGGCUCAACCCCGGGAGGCGGGUGGAUACUGUCAAGCUCGAGUCCGGAAGAGGCGAGUGGAAUUCCUGGUGUAGCGGUGAAAUGCGCAGAUAUCAGGAGGAACACCGGUGGCGAAGGCGGAUCUCUGGGCCGAUACUGACGCUGAGGAGCGAAAGCGUGGGGAGCGAACAGG
rnacentral:rRNA from 1 species